UUGAGCGCGCGUCCCCUAAACAAGGAACAGAUACAAAAGCAUUUGUGUCAAAUAUAUCAAUUUUUGGAUUUAUAUGGACUAUCAAUACGUAUAUGCCUGAUUUUAUUUUGCAUUAAGUAUCAAAAGUGGCAGUGGGAGAAGUUUGCAAUAUAUCUACGGAGUGUUCUGACAGCGCAGCAUUAUGUUGGCUUAACACGUGUACAUGUAACGAGAGCAGUUAUGACAGUAAUGGACUUGAAAAAGCAGGAACGUGCAAUUAAGUAACGAACCUACAAGUGACAGAUGUUGUUUUCAUCGCGGAAACCAAUAAAAUAGUUGUAUCUUGGCGGCCACCGGUUGAUUUUGAUCAAUACAUUGAUGGGUAUACUGUCAAAUGGAGGCCUAAAUAUGGUGACAAUGUUGAAAAAGAGUCAGAAACUGUAGCUUCAUCAUCUGCAACACUUACACUCGACAGAGGCAUUGAUCCUGGUCGGGCGUACAACAUCACGAUCAUUUCAAAGAAUGAACGAACACAACAAGGGUAUUUAAGAAGAACAUCCGUCACAAGAAUGCAAUCAGCAAGUAAGAUGUCUAAAAACGUCAUUGUAACAGAGAUUGUAAGUAUUGCCAGACUAUCAAUAUAAGAAAAUCUAUUUGCUUAAUCCGGCGCUAUGGGGCGCUGUAGGGCGCAAUUUGGCGAGAGGUUACUGCAAUUGUUGUUACUUCUCAUGAACAAACUCAGUCAAACAGGGUCUGCCAUAAUUUUGCUUGGUUGCCUUCAGUACAUAUAUAUGCAUGCAUUUAAGUGCAUGUGUAGUCGUCAUCGGUGACCCAUAUUGGCAAUUCUCCAGAACAUUUUUUGUACCUUUAGUGGGAGGACAGUGCAAAAUACAGAAUACGCUCCAGUUCAUUAAGCUCUCCUGAUGUUUUAGCAUGCCAUGUGUAAAACACCCACAUCAUUCAGGGGAAACUUAUUUCAAUGUUAUCAAUGUCUAAUUAGAGAAGUGGGGACUUGAACUCGCAGCUUCUGGUUUUCGUUUUAUGCUUAAAUGGUUUCUUAUAGGAAAAGUUCUGCUGCAGACCUUUUUAAAUUUCUAUCUACAUUUUCUUACUUCUAUGUCAAACUUGCCUUAAAUUUAUUGCCAAAUUGUACAUGAAAUUAUAAUAAUUUAUGCUUUCGUAAGAUUUAUUUCAGUUUCUGAAAUUACUCCAAACAUGUAUGUUAUAUUACAGAGCCAAGUCUCAUUACUGGUUUUGAUCUAGAAAACAGUGAACUUGAUCCGAGUGAUAGUAAAAUUACGAUAGCUUGGUUUGAUGCUCCAGGUUAUAUCCAAGGCUACAGGGUACAGCUUUUUGAUAUGUCAACAUCUGCAUUUCUUACAGGAUCACAUCCCAGUUCUACAUAUAACACCUUCUUUCUCAGUGACCUGAAGAACGGAUACACAUAUAAUAUUGCAAUACAGGCAAAAAGCGAGCAAUACUACGAAGGAAAUUUCGUAUAUGGUGACUCGUAUGCUGCACAAUUUGAUACUACAGUAAAAGCCAAAGUGGUGGUGGGAGAGGCUUGUAAUAUAUCUUCAGAAUGUUCUGAUAGCGCAGCAGUAUGUCUGUUUGACACGUGUACAUGUGACGAAAGCAAUUAUGACAGCAAUGGUUUUGAAAAAGGCGGAACGUGCAAUCCAAUUACAGAUCUACAAGUGACAGAUGUUGUUUUCAUGGUGCAGACCAAUAAAAUAGUUGUAUCUUGGCGGCCACCCGUUGGCUUUGAUCAAUACAUUGAUGGGUAUACUGUCAAAUGGAGACCUAAAUAUGGUGACAAUAUUGAAGAAGAGUCAGAAAGUGUUGACUCAUCAUCUACAACACUUACACUUGAGAGAGGAAUAGAUCCUGGGCGCGCGUACAACAUCACAAUAAUUUCAAAGAAUGAAUUGUCACAGCAAGGGUCUUUAAGAAGAACAUCCGUCACAAGAAUGCAACCAGCAAAGCCAAGUCUCACUACUGGUUUAGAUAUGAACAACAGUGAAUUUGAUCCAAUUGAUGGUAAAAUUACGAUAGCUUGGUUUGAUGCUCUGGGAUAUGUUCAAGGCUACAGGGUACAGCUCUUUCAUGGAUCAACAUUGCUUUCACGAUCACAUCCCGGCUCUUUAUUUAACACCUUCUUUCUCAGCGACCUGAAGCCCGGAUACACAUAUACUAUUGCUAUAGAGGCGAAAAGCGAGCAAUACUACGAAAGAAUUAUCGAAUAUGGUGACGCUUAUAUUGCACAAUUUAAUACUACAGUAAAAGUUCCAGGUCCCCCGAGAGAAGGCUCACAUGCAUUAGUUCUACAGAAACCUCUAUUACAUUGUUAUGGCUACCACCUUCUGACCCUAAUGGAGAAGUGACACGUUACAACAUACACGUUUAUAGAGGAUCUAAGCUCGAAUUUACAUUAAGUACAUCAGGAAACGAAACGGUACAUACUGUGGAUGAUCUCUAUCCAGGCACAGAAUAUUCAUUCAGAGUUCACACAGAGAAUGAGCAAUAUAACUCCACAAGUUAUACUGCAAUUGAUUCUGAUUGUAAAACGAAUGGAAAGUGUAAGUCAAAGCUAAACUGAAAACCAUUAAAUAACGCAGCAUCUUAUCAUUAUGUUUUCAUUUUAUCUUUGCCAAGUAAUAAAAUGUUAGUUUUGAAUAGAUCUAGUUAAUACAACUCAUUUCUCAUAUUCUGUGUCGGAAGUUAGCAUCUGGUCGAAGUUUAUUUAUUUAUUUAUUUUGAAUAACGCUGACAUAGUUCAGGUCAUACGGCGGUUAAUCAACUUUAAUGGAUUAGAGUGACCAAAGCUGCCCCUAAGCAAUUAUGUAAAGAGCAAGUUGAUACCUGAGUAUAACCGUGGAUGUUCCGCAAAACAUAGUUAUUUCCUCACCUGACGGUCUGGAAAGCGUCCAGAAACUAUAAAUUGUUGACGUCUCCAGUCUUGGCUUUACUGUUACAUGGAAUGAACCUGUUAACACAUACGAUGAAUAUAUUUAUGGAUAUGUAAUAAACAUCAAAAUAGACCAUGUAUGUGUCGAAGAAGUAAUAUACACAUACAAAAGGAUGUCUUGGUAAUUUGGAGUGCACUAUGCGGGAGAACAUCUGACAACGUAAAGUGAUAUAUACGUCACUAAACUUGACAGGAAUCCAGAUCUACCCAGUUUUCCGUCUUAUACCAAAUACAACUUAUACAAUAACUGUCUCAGCUGUCAAUAGCUUAGGGAAGGGCACUGGUGUUAUCAUUACACAGAUGACAAACAAAGAAGUGAUAGGAACAGGCACGUUUUGAUCUACCCUGUAAGAUGAUGUUUUUUCAUUUCAAGCCGACCCUGGUGGACGGCGGCUAUCGGAAUGUGGUAAAGAUUUCUCACAUUGUGCGAUGUAGUAAAUUUGAGUGAAGUUUGUCUUGGCAAAAUACCAGACACCGGUGAAAUAUUCUAUAUAUUUUCAUGAAUACCAUUGUAUGAAAGAAUUUUGUUUAAUAAAGUUGAUUAAAAUGAGGAUAAAUAACAUUAUUAAACGAAUUGGUGCUAAUGUAUAAUAUCAUCUCACCCGAAACCACCAGUCAAGGAAAUCUCUAGAAAGCGGAUGUGUAAUCAUCAAAUCUAUAAGAAAGCAUUUAAGAAGAAAAAAUGUCUACUUGGAGAAAGGUUAAGACUUCUCAACAUAUAUAAGUAUUAUAUAUGGUAUUAAUACUGCAUAUAGUACACUGUAUAAGUAUAUCCUGUUUACGUAGAACAAGUUCAGUUUUUGUACAUAUAUAAGCGCUCAGAAACCAUAAUAGUAUAGCUCAAUAGCUGUUAAAACAGAAGGAAAAUCUGUUUUAUACAUCCUUGGAUGAAAUUAAAUCACAUUUCCUUAUGUAAAGUGAUGCGACUAGUCUUAUCAACUAGCUUUAAGGUCAGAUUCCGUCAUCAUUAGUAAGGUUCAGUAACAUUGUACUGGGUACUGUAGUCAAUAAUGCAGUCUAAACACACCUAAUCAUGCUGAUGCAGUGCUACGAACCCUUGUGCAGCUUUCGCGAAUACAAACUUCUGAAGAGAGCAUUUUAGUCAUGCAAUGUCUUUGCUAGCACUUUAAUUGUACUUCUGUGAAAUUGGCAGUAUAAACACUGAGAACAUAUUUCCUGUAAAUGUUUGUUAUAGAUAUAUUUGCAAAGAUUUUUGUACGUCAAUUUUGGGAACAAAUUUCGCACUAUGAUUUGCCUGAUAUCAGUCUUGCAGAUAGCUUUUGUAAUAUCGUUGACGGACGUAUCCAACUUUUAUGCAGCCACUGUACAACAUUCAACAUUGCGUCAGGUUGUUGUGAACAUGAUUGAUUUCCAAACAAUAUCAUUGACUGAUAAAAUACUGCAUUUCAGUGAUACUGAACACAAAAAUUAGUAAAACAAUAACAAGUGAUAUGCAAAACGUAAUUUGCACACCAUUAGAAUAUAGUUUUUGAUGCUUUGCAUUAAACAAUAUCUUGAACGGAUGGGACAGAAACUCACAGGGACUAAGCUGCUACGAUAUCGUGCUUUGUUUUACAAUACAUUGUAAAAUAGAAAAGUGGGAACUCCACAGGUACACGUGCUAGGGAUUCACAGACAGAAAAAUACUAAUAUUUACAUUGUCCUAUAACUUUGAAACAUUGUGGAGAAUGAGUGAGGUUUUGCGCAUAUAUAACUAAUUUAAAUUUCCCAAUGGUAUUUAAACAAACAGACUGUUCCUCUUUGUUUUUUUUCACGAUUGCUCAUUCACUUUACUAUUGUGUACUUAACAAGUCAUAUAUACAAUCCUAUGUGGGCUUUCUUUUAAAAAGAUAUAUUUAAUGUUAUUUUAGUGAUGUCGAACACUUUUUACGAUUAAAAUUUUCUUCUGUGAAUCGUCGAAUUUGUAUACUAUCAGGUUUUUUCAGAAACACAUGGAAACCAUUUAUAUAGAAAUCAGAACAAAUGAACUUUACUAUAUGUCUAUCUUUUGAACAAUACCGGCUUUGCAUAUGAGUGUUUCUGAGAAUAAAUUAUUAUAUUGAACAUGUAAAUACUUCUUGUAUUUUUUCUUAA
rnacentral:misc_RNA from 1 species